rnacentral:rRNA from 1 species
AGUGAACGCUGGCGGUAGGCCUAACACAUGCAAGUCGAACGGCAGCACAGUAAGAGCUUGCUCUUACGGGUGGCGAGUGGCGGACGGGUGAGGAAUACAUCGGAAUCUACUUUUUCGUGGGGGAUAACGUAGGGAAACUUACGCUAAUACCGCAUACGACCUACGGGUGAAAGCAGGGGAUCUUCGGACCUUGCGCGAUUGAAUGAGCCGAUGUCGGAUUAGCUAGUUGGCGGGGUAAAGGCCCACCAAGGCGACGAUCCGUAGCUGGUCUGAGAGGAUGAUCAGCCACACUGGCACUGAGACACGGUCCAGACUCCUACGGGAGGCAGCAGUGGGGAAUAUUGGACAAUGGGCGCAAGCCUGAUCCAGCCAUACCGCGUGGGUGAAGAAGGCCUUCGGGUUGUAAAGCCCUUUUGUUGGGAAAGAAAAGCAGCAGGUUAAUACCCCGCUGUUCUGACGGUACCCAAAGAAUAAGCACCGGCUAACUUCG